AUUGAACGCUGGCGGCAGGCCUAACACAUGCAAGUCGAGCGAGCGGCGGACGGGUGAGUAAUGUCUGGGAAACUGCCUGAUGGAGGGGGAUAACUACUGGAAACGGUAGCUACUACCGCAUACCAUCAGAUGUGCCCAGAUGGGAUUAGCUAGUAGGUGGGGUGACGGCUCACCUAGGCGACGAUCCCUAGCUGGUCUGAGAGGAUGACCAGCGACACGGGAGCGGAGACACGGGCCAGAGGCCUACGGGAGGGAGCAGUGGGGAAGAUUGCACAAUGGGGGCAAGCCUGAUGCAGCCAUGCGGCGUGUGUGAAGAAGGCCGUCGGGUUGGAAAGCACUUUCAGCGGGGAGGCGUUACCCGCAGAAGAAGCACCGGCUAACUCCGUGCCAGCAGCCGCGGUAAUAC
rnacentral:rRNA from 1 species